CGGAGUUCUUCCCCGGCGUUCAUUGGUUGUUUUGGAUUCUACCCAGACGAGGAUCCGCCGCCUUCGGGACUGUCUGGCUCCAUCAUAUUUCCUUUCUUCCUUAACCGACUGUUUGAGCUGUCAAUCAUCUCCCUCUCGCCUUUACAUGCACGCUCACGCAGGGUUUUUUUUUGUUGUUUUUUUGUCUUGUUUUGCAGAUUUCCUAGCUGACAUUUAUUGUUAUCUUCUAUUUCAGUGACUUCGUCAAACGAAUGGCAUGGCUGCCAGCAAGCCAGAGGCUGCGUGAGACGGAAUGCACUUCCCAUGAUCCCCGGGAAAGCUGCUGCUGAGUUCCAAGGAGGGGAACCAUUUUCUGAGAGAGAGGAAGAUAGUUCUACAUGUUGUUUGCUUUCAAGUUCGUUUUGUAAGUUCCAUUCCAAUGAGUCACAUAAAUUAAAUUUAUCUGAUAAGGC